rnacentral:lncRNA from 1 species
GAGCAGCCGCUGAGCCGAACGUACUUCAGUCGAUGAUGAUCAACUAAAAAUACUCAAGAGUCAAGCCGAGAGACCUGACUCUUGAGCCGACCGAUCAAGCCGUCACUCUUCCUAAUCCGGGCCAGGCCUUCCUAUUCCUCGGGCCUUGUGGGAUGGUCAAAUCCAUCCUCUACAGAGAGGAUCUCAUAGGAGACUGAAG